ACCCUGCUCCAGGCAGCGUGGUCUGUAUGGCUCCGCCCUGGGCAGGAGGAGAAAGAAGAGGGCCAGGCACCACGUGCCUGCACUCUCCCUGGAUGCUGGAGGCUGCUCCGCCGUGGGCAGGAGGAGAAGGAAGAGAACUGGGUGCCGCCUGCCUGCACUCUCUCCGGAUGCUGGAGGCUGGAGGCAGUGAGGCAGCAACAGCGCGAGGGCGAGGCGACUUUGGAGCUGCCUCAUGCAGCGACCUCGCCUUCCGCUGCGCCUCCUCCCAGAACCCAAGAAGCCUGGAACCUGUGGCGUCCAGCCCUGAAAGGAGGAGACGGCAACCCAGCCGCGCUUUUGCCUGCACUCUCCCUGGAUGCUGGAGGCUGGAGGCAGUGACGCAGCAACAGCGCGAGGCGACUUUGGAGCGGCCUCAUAUAGCGACCUCGCCUUCCGCUGCGCGUCCUCCCAGAGCCCAAGAAGCCCGGAACCUGUGGCAUCCAUCUCUGAAAGGAGAAGACGGCAACCCAGCCGAGGCACUACUGGGUUGGGGUCUCCACGACCGAGCUGGUCUCAUCAAGUGGCGUCCAACAAGGGGCUCAAACCCGGGUUGAGGGGUUGCUGGAGCGACGGAGAACGUGGAACUACACUGGAGGACACCAGAGUACUCUUAAGCAAUCCCUUGGCCAAAACCAGCAACUGAUUUGGAUACCAUCAAGACACCUGAAAUCUUGUCAUGAGCCAGAUACUGAGGAAGAGAUUUUGGGAAGAACCCAAGGACCCCCCAGUUGCAGCCAUGUCAAGACUGACAAUAAGGAAGACAUCAGUCCCAGCAAGCAACAUUCAUCGGGCACAGCCACCCAUGUGGGGCCAGAUCAAGAAGUUGACACAGAUGGCGGAAGAAAAUCUGAAGAAAGCGGAUGACCAGCUACAAUGAGUAAUCUAAUGUCUGCAGAUGUGGAUCCCGAAUCCUGCGAGAAGUAGCCCACCAUGACGAAGCUGCCUUUGCUUUUAUCGCUUUGCAAAAACAGAAAAGGGGACAUGCUGGGAACAGGCCCUAAGCCUGUCAUAAACAGGCCUUAAACUGACCAUGAACAGGAUUUCUGCACGAAUGUGACGUGCUCCUGAUGGCUAUGACGCCCACUGCUAGAAGUUGUUAGUUUACUGGAGCAGGGUAGGGAACACCUGGCCCACCCGGAGCGGAAAACUGCUCAAACCACAAACAACAGCAUGAGUGGCCUGAGCCUUAACAACAUGUUUUUGCUGCAGAUAAUCGGCCAGAGACUGUUUCUCUACUCCUCUCUAAGUAUGCUUUGUUUUUCGUAAGGAAUGCUUUUAGCUAAUCUGUAACCUAUAGAAACAAUGCUUAUCACUGGCUUGCUGUCAAUAAACAUGUGGGUCAAACUCUGUUUGUGGCUCUCAGCUCUCAAGGCUGUUUUCCCCCUGAUUCCCACUUUGCACUUUAUUUCUGUGUGUUUGUCUUCAUUCCUCUAGCACCACUGGGUUGGGGUCUCCUUGACCAAGCUGGUCUCGGCACAUAUGCAUGUAUGCCCAGGUCCUGAAAUCAGCCUUGUGGAGCCUGUGGGUAGGAAAAGUCAACCCUCUGUGCAUGUAGGCCUGGAACCUGACCAAUACUGUAUUUUCCUACCACGUUUGGUUUCAAAUGUGGAAACUGCCCAUACGGACCUACUGCAUUUGUUUUUAAAAAUCCUCUGUAAGUGGACCUGCACAGUUCAGGCCCAGAUUGUUCCAGGAUCAACCCUACAGUAGAAAUCAAGUAUCUUUUUCAUUGUCUCUUGGGAUCUGCCUUUUCACCAAUAAAAUAUGAGGGCUGUUGGGAGCAGGCCCCCCCAAAUCUGGCCAUAAACUGUCCCCAAAACUGGCCAUAAACAAAAUCUCUGCAGCACUAUAACAUGUUCAUAAUGGCCAUAACGCCCAAGUUGGAAGGUUGUGGAUUUACAGGAAUGAGGGCAAGGAACACCUGGCCUGCCCAGGGUGGAAAACCACUUAAAGGCAUUCUUAAGCCACAAACAAUAGCAUGAGUGAUCUGUGCCUUAAGAACAUGCUCCUGCUGCAGUUAACUAGCCCAACAUAUUCCUUUAAUUCAGUCCAUCCCUUCGUUUCCCAUAAGGGAUACUUUUAGUUAAUUUAAUAUCUAUAGAAAGAAUGCUAAUGACUGGUUUGCUGUUAAUAAAUACGUGGGUAAAUCUCUGUUUGGGGCUCUCAACUCUGAAGGCUGUGAGACCCCUGAUUUCCCACUUGACACCUCU
rnacentral:lncRNA from 1 species